UGGGGUAUCGCCAAGCGGUAAGGCAACGGGUUUUGAUCCCGUCAUGCGGAGGUUCGAAUCCUCCUACCCCAGCCA
rnacentral:tRNA from 14 species